rnacentral:misc_RNA from 1 species
GAAAUGCGAUAAGUAAUGUGAAUUGCAGAAUUCAGUGAAUCAUCGAAUCUUUGAACGCACAUUGCGCCCGCCAGUAUUCUGGCGGGCAUGCCUGUUCGAGCGUCAUUUCAACCAUCAAGCCCCGCGCUUGUGUUGGGGACCUGCGACUGCCGCAGGCCCUGAAAACCAGUGGCGGGCUCGCUGUCACACCGGGCGUAGUAGAUUUUAUCUCGCUCAGGGCGUGCUGCGGGUUCCGGCCGUUAAAAAGCCUUUUUUACCCAAGGUUGACCUCGGAUCAGGUAGGAAGACCCGCUGAACUUAAGC